CAAAUGUUUGAAAAAGUGCCAUUGUAAAGUCAAAAUGGAAGCUGGUCAACUGAAAUCAUCUAAAGCUGCUAAAACUUCCCCAUUUAAUAUGAUUUGCUAUGAACAUUAGAAAAAAAUUAAAAGAAAAAAAACACAUUUGGAGUAAGUUGGCAAGUUUGGUUAAGUUUAGCAAGCGAAUCUGUUGGCUUCACCAAAAUGGUCUAACAUCCAGGAAUAUGGAGGUUCUUACCAUUUGGAGAUGCUUCUCUGCACCAAAAGGACUGUUGAAAAGGCACAUCCUACCCUAGCUAGUGGUUUUUAUUUUAUCCCCAAAUCUGGAAGCUGGGAGGGAAUCACGAGUCUCAAGUGGUUUACGAGAAGCUGGCUUCUGUAAGUUUCAGGUAUCGUUCCUUUCCCCAAGAGGGAGGGACACUGUUCCUGCUUCCUUAUCACAAGCUCACUGCCACCGCCCUGCACGGUGACUACCACGGUUGUCUACUAGAGAAGCAGCCUUUUAGGACAUACUAACUAUCUCUGGGCUUUUUAAUCAGCCACGUAAGAAUGGGAGACCAUGGCUCUACUGGAAGGUUUAGGACAAAACUGGCUGCUUGCUUCUGACCCCAGCGCCAGCGACAGCCUUCUUCCUUGUGGUCCUGCCUUUGCCUGCCUGGCUCUGAUCGCUGCUCUGUGACGUUUCCUCCUCCGUGUGGCCACCGCGUCACAGACUUCCCCAUGCAGCACGCCAUCUGAAGCUGUUCUUCCAAACCCAGUUAAACUGUAUAUAUUUUGUUUUGGGUUUUUUGUUUUUUGUUUUUUUUUUUGGUGGGGGAGGGAGGUAAUUAGGUUUAUUUAUUUAUUUAUUUGUUUUUUAAUUUUUUUUUUUUAAUUGAAGGUACUGGGGGUUGAACCCAGGAGGACCUCGUGUGUGCUUAGCACACACUCUACCACUGAGCUCUACCCUCCCCACCGUAUGUAUUUUGGAACUGUGUGUCCCUUCUCUCCGAACAGCAGCCAGCGUGCCAGUCUGCGACCACCUUGCUAACCCUGGUUUGCGUCGUGUCUGCUCCUUUGUGGCUGCUGAGGGGAUUAGUUUUUAUCGGAUGGUUCUCCCAUUUUGAAGCUAAUCUUUUGGAUUGACUAAGGCUCCCCCUUUCCUCACCCUCACUCCCGUCAGAUGGUCUAAAGCAAUGAACCAGCACUUCACCGAGCAUUCCCAAAGGCAGCUCUGAAGGAGGGAAGGCAGAAUGCUGCCAGGACAAGAAGUCUGCUCCUCUACUCCACACGCCUCCUGAAUCCACAUCCUCUUCCAAUUGGGCUGAAGGCAUUUGCUGCUUUUCUUGAAGCCCAGUGGUUCCAACAAACUCCUGGAUAAGAAUAUGAAGGAGGAACCGACGUUUGGGGUAGGAUGGAGACUAAAUUUAAAUUGAGAAUCUAUACUGGGGAAUAAACACAUCGGUGCAUUGUAGCAUGCUGAGAUACUAGUCCCUAUUAACCAUCAAAAGUGUUUUUCACAGGCAAAGGCGGACGCUGGAUCCGAACGUCAGGGCCUGAAGAGGGAGCCCAUUCUGAUGGUCGGAGGAGUUUUUGCUGUGGCCAGUACACGCUCCCUUUGGCAAGCAGUUAGCAUCACCGGGUGACUGAGCGUCCGUAGGAUCCGUGGGGCCAGCUUUUCUCAAAGUCCCAGGGAGACAAGUCAGUGGGUCCGAAGGAGCUGGGGAAGGCGCUCUAACCCUAGGCAACGCACAGAAAGCUGGGGGACCAUCAGACUGCUCGGGCUUUGAAUGGAAUAUCACCCACUGGACUAAACGCGAAGGGUGCCGACCUUGAGGGCUCUGCCACAUUCAUUUCCUGAAGCUAAGAAGUUGCAAAAUUAAAAAAAAACAACACGAAAAUAGACUGGGGACUAACGGGCCUCUGAACAGCUUUAAAAAUAGGAAAACCUGAGUAUAAAUCAGGAGACGGUUGCUCACGAGGGGCGGGUGCCCUCGGCACCUUUCUGAUCCUUGUCUCACAGUUAAUAAUAUAUUAAUUGAUUCAUGUGUUUGCGUUCUGUUUAUUGUGCAUGUUCUGUGCCAGGCAGGAUGCUGGGCCCUGGAGAUAAAAGGUGACGAAGCCAAUGACCCUGCCUUGGGAAGCUGAGAGCCCAUGAGGAGUAACAGAUGUGAAGAAGGAGUAUGAUCAGUGCUAGAAAAAAGCAUGUACACAUUACAGCAGCAACCUAACGCCCUUCCAUUUUUUUUCUAUGUGUCUUUUAAUGGCAAUUCCUCUAGCCAAGAUGUUGGACCAGCUGACUGAAUCAUUAAAAGGAUAACGUGAGGGAGACACACCAUAAGCUGCAGACUCACAUACUACUGUUUUUAGUGUUGAAGAAACCACCGCUUCAAGCAUGACAGCAGGUGCCCUAGUCCGGAGCCUCAGGACAUAAUAUCUGCUCCUGCCAACGGAAACAGCACAGUACGGAGGAAAGGGCCCUGGAGAAUGAGGCUGGAGGGCUGGCUUCUAGCCGGUGCCACUACAGACAGACCGCAGCGGGGCUGCAGGUUCCAUUCCAGACCACCUCAGUAGAGCGAUUAUCUCCAUCAAAAGUGCAGAUUAUUGCCUGUGAACUGAAGGAGGGAAGAGAUAUCCUUAAAGCCAACCUGGUAAAGUUCUCCAUCGGACUCAGCUGUGGGAGGAUGUUGAAAUGGAGGAGACAGAGGAGGCCGGACCAACCAAAAUCUUCUAGCUCUCUAUGCGGGAUGACAUCCAAGUUACAGAACCUGGCACCCCAACCAACUCAACUUUCGACUUCCAGUCACUUCACAAGCAUCCAAAAGCUGAGAUCUGUUCCUGGAAUAGAAACCUUCUCUGUUUUUCCUAAAAUGUUCUUGCAAACAGUUUCAUGGUUGUGCAGUGUUUUGCUAAUAUUUUAGGGAACGAUGGAAAAACUUGCACACCAGAGGGAGAAAUAAUGCAACCAGGAGAGCAGGGUUGCCUGGGGUAACCUGUCCUGAGUCAGGCAGGCACGCUAUCAGAUUCCUCCACGGCGAGGCGGCCUGGCAGAUGCUUCUGAUACCCCCUCCCCUCCCAGUUUCAUGAAGGGUGGACCAGCAGAAAGGGCUGGGUUGGGGUGAUGGACGGGGUGGCUGAGGACGCAAGGUCACUACUCGGUGUCAGAGGAGUCAGACGAUGGGCUGUUUGUCUGUGUUGCCCUUGAGACAAUCUAUUCAGGUGCUGGAUCAAUGGACCAAAUCACAGGUUUAAAAUGUGUGUAGGGCUUGAUCUUAGGGACCAACAUUGGGGCUCGUCUAGCUAAGUGGUUCUUGUGAAAAUGAUCAGAAGGAUGGCGGUCCCUGUGUUCCUGUCGUCAGCAUAACACAGCCCUCCUUGUUGCCCUGUGUCCUCAUCCUCAGCCGUUUAUGAAGGGAACCGCACACACCCCGGCAUUCUCGUACCAGACUUCUGGGUGUCCUAUAAAUGGAGGAUUUCCACAGGGCUUAGGGCACGUGUAGCCACCACAGCAAACAAGGAACUGAAUUGAAAAGACCGCUAUUUCUUUUUACCCUCUUCUCAGCUCCAUCUUUAGAACCCAAAGGGCACAGUCUGCAAUGUCGGGUUGUUAAUAAAGAUACUAAUUUUUGUUACUGUUGAUAAAUGUUAUAAACAACCUUAAGUUAUAUUAUCAUGUGCUUUGGCUUAUAGAGCAUGUAGGAAUUUCUUCCACGUUUUUUGAACAUUGGCUUCUAUAUUUGAAUUACCCAGGGCAGUUGAUAAAGGAUGUUUGCUGUUUAUCUAAGGCUGUGCAGAGUCACCGACAGGCCCUGCCAGCAAUGAGGUAUUAUCCACACUUGUCACACCUGUGUUCUCGAAGAUGGCACAGGGAUCUAGGAGGUGCUGACUGGUGGGUAACUAGGUAGGGCACAUCAGCGUAAAUGGAUGAGGAAAUGAGCUUUCACAGGGAAACAAAUGACACCAGUUAAAUUUGGAAAAGGGACUGAGAUGGCGAUACAGUUGCCACUGGAUGUUUAAGACAGAGUAUCAUUAAAACAAAAGGCAGAGCCUGCCAUCUUCGGCAUGUAAGCCGUCCUUAGAAAUGCCGGAAUUUGACCCUCUAUUCUCAGAUGCAAGGACCUCCUUGAAUAACAAUCAUUCACAUUUUGGGAUGAAAAUAUGUUGAAGAGGUUGUUAAGUGACCUAGCACAGCGUCACAUUAUGGAAUACAAGACUGCUCCCUUUAAAGCGGCAGUCCUGCCCUUUCCAAAAGCAAAACAGAGGCGGGGGCGGGACUUCCCUUACCGUCAGCGACAAGGCCAUGCAGACGAACGUGAACCUCUUGAUGUGGGCCGCCGUGACCGUGUUGCUCGUGCUCGCCGCUUUGUUGCUGGGGUUAUUCUAGGGGGAAGGAAAAGGCUCCGGGUUAGCCGGGCUGCCCACACAUGCCUCUUAAAGAGCAUCUCGUUUCUGUUUUGCUUCACUUGUCUGAAGCAUAGAGGUCGCGUGACAGCUGGGAAGACGGCUGUCACUUCGAGUCUCUCUCAGGCAGGCUUCUCUCUGGUUUCUGGAUGUGAACAUUUAAACCAGAGGGAAUUCUGGACUGAACACCUACCCGGCAGUGUCUCCUGAAUCAGCCCCUCUCCUUGGCAACCGGUGCCCCCGGGCUAGUGCAUGGCCCGGUCCUUCCUGCAGUGCCCCCUGCCCCGGAGCCCUUCGCAGGCAGGGGUGCAUCUGGCCCGUAUUCGGGGACAGGUGUGAGGCCCCCGUGAGGUGUGUGUUUGCGCUCUGAGAUAAAGGACUGGGCGCCUCACCCAUCUCUUUAGCUCCUGCAACUUAGCACAGUCUUUCUGGAGUAGAGAAGAUGCUCAAAAAGCCUUUGUUAAGUUGACAUUUAAGCAAAAAUUGCAGAUCGCCCAGAGGUCCCCUGACACAUCCCCAAGGCUCACCAGGGCCACCCCAGCAUCAGGGCUCUGCGUGCCCAUCGCCUAAUCAAAACGAGCGGCUGGCCCUCGACUGUGAACCGCAGCAGAGAGAACACAUCGCCUGCCUCGUCAUGGAUCCAGUCAGUCCCAGAGCUGGCUCACCGCACCCAGCCCUGAGCACCUGGCCCCCAAGUCCAGCCUAGCGAGGGGCUCACGAGCACAGGGGGUACAGGUUCCCUCUGCAGAAGCUUCUGCUGUUUCCUUCCCCUGGAGGCCGAGGCGAUCUCUUGAGUCCCCUCCCGUUGCAGAUGCUACCAGCCCACACCUCUGGAGGGGCUUACAUUUUCCUAACUCCCACCUUUAAAGCACACCUGCUUUUCCGAAUAUUAGCCAGCUCUCCUAGCAAAGUGCAAAUCACAGUGGGGAAGACGUCCCUCUGUCCCCCUCCUCCCAGGGAUCUGUGUGCGUGGUGCCCUGGUGGGAUGGGGAGAGGGAGGCUACAUGGAAAGAGCUAGGAAACUCCAAGUGCUGCAGUGACAGCCAUGUGCGCCAGCUCCGCCAGGUGCACUUUUAUUUUCAAAACAGCAAACAUUUCUGCUAGCGUGUCUCAUGGGAUUCGCAUCUGUGCUCUGCUGUGUUUGCCCAGUCUGCUCUUUAGCAGGUGAUAACUGAAGACGGGAGAGGACUGGUGCUAGUGGAGAACCUUCCCUGCUCACUCUUUAGCUGGAAGCGUCAGAAGUUAUGCGAGAAAUUUUGAAUCUCUCAUUCUGGAACCCACAAAGAGGCCAAGGACUUCACUUGCCAAUGCAGCAAAUUCUGGAAGUCCACACAGAGGUGUCUAAGACGGGGGUGAAUAGACAGCACUCAUGGAAAUGGCUUGGAGUAGCCCAGCGGAAUGAAUGCCAACAGUGGGGGAGGAGGUUUCACAAGGCUUCUGGGUAACUCCAGUAUCUCUGGCUAGAGGUAUUCUCGGUAAAGGAAGUUCACGGCACCUAACCUCUGAGAUCAUGAAUAAAGCGUUGUUUUUCUUGGAUGCUUUGAAA